UUCAAUGUACCUGCCAUGUAUGUUGCUAUCCAGGCUGUUCUCUCAUUGUAUGCCAGUGGUCGUACAACAGGUAAUGUGCUGGAUUCUGGUGAUGGUGUUUCUCACACUGUGAACAAUCUAUGAGGGGUAUGCCCUUCCUCAUGUCAUCCUCCGUCUGGACCUUACUGGCCGUGAUCUUACUGAUGCUUUGAUGAAGAUUCUUACUGAGAGAGGUUACAUGUUCACCACCACUGCUGACGUGAAAUUGUCCGUGACAUGAAGGAGAAGCUUGCAUAUAUUGCCCUGGACUACGAGCAGGAACUGGAGACUGCCAAGAGCAGCUCUUUUGUUGAGAAGAACUAUGAGUUGCCUGAUGGACAAGUCAUUACUAUCGGGGUUGAGAGGUUUCUCUGUCCUGAAGUUCUCUUCCAGCCAUCUCUCAUUGGGAUGGAAGCUGCUGGAAUCCAUCAAACUACCUACAACUCCAUCAUGAACUGUGAUGUGGAUAUCAGGAAGGAUUUCUAUGGCAACAUUGUGCUUAGGGUGGCUCGACUAUGUUCCCAGGUAUUGCAGACCGUAUGACCAAGGAGAUCACUGCCCUUGUUCCAAGCAGCAUGAAGAUCAAGGUUGUUACUCCACCAGAGAGGAAGUACAGUGUCUGGAUUGGAGGAUCUAUCUUGGCAUCACUCAGCACCUUCCAGCAGAUGUAGAUUUCCAAGGGCGAGUAUGAUGAGUCUGGUCCAUCCAUUGUCCACAGGAAGUGCUUCUAAGUUAUCUGCAAGUGAUUUGACGGUGAGUUACAUUUAAUGUUUAGUUGGUUUCUCGUGUCCUGUGUCAAGU